UGUAAUAGGGUGUGGUUCGUA
rnacentral:siRNA from 1 species